rnacentral:rRNA from 1 species
GACAGAGGGUGCAAACGUUGUUCGGAAUUACUGGGCGUAAAGCGCGUGUAGGCGGCUCGGCAAGUCGGGUGUGAAAGCCCUGGGCUUAACCUAGGAAGUGCACUCGAAACUGCCAAGCUUGAGUUCUGGAGAGGAAGGCGGAAUUCUCGGUGUAGAGGUGAAAUUCGUAGAUAUCGAGAGGAACACCGGUGGCGAAGGCGGCCUUCUGGACAGCAACUGACGCUGAGGCGCGAAAGCUAGGGGAGCAAACGGG